rnacentral:rRNA from 1 species
UACGGAGGGUGCGAGCGUUGUUCGGAAUUACUGGGCGUAAAGCGCGUGUAGGCGGCCUUCUAAGUCUGGUGUGAAGGCCCGGGGCUCACCCCCGGAAGUGCAUUGGAUACUGGGAGGCUGGAGUACCGGAGAGGAGGGUGGAAUUCCUGGUGUAGCGGUGAAAUGCGUAGAUAUCAGGAGGAACACCAGUGGCGAAGGCGACUACCUGGCCUGUUCUUGACGCUGAGGCGCGAAAGCUAGGGGGAGCAAACGGG